rnacentral:rRNA from 1 species
UACGUAGGGGGCGAGCGUUGUCCGGAUUCAUUGGGCGUAAAGAGCUCGUAGGCGGUUCAGUAAGUCGGGUGUGAAAUCUCCGUGCUCAACACGGAGCGGCCACCUGAUACUGCUGUGACUCGAGUCCGGUAGGGGAGUGUGGAAUUCCCGGUGUAGCGGUGAAAUGCGCAGAUAUCGGGAGGAACACCAGUGGCGAAGGCGGCUUACUGGUCCGGAACUGACGCUGAGGUGCGAAAGCGUGGGGAGCAAACAGG